UAAGCAUAUCAAUAAGCGGAGGAAAAGAAACCAACAGGGAUUGCCUUAGUAGCGGCGAGUGAAGCGGCAAUAGCUCAAAUUUGAAAUCUGCCAACAGGCCGAGUUGUAAUUUGAAGAAAGCAAUUCUGGAUGUGUCUUUGCUCAAGUUCCUUGGAAUAGGACAUCAUGGAGGGUGAGAAUCCCGUGAUGCGAAGGUAGCACGUCUAUGUAGAAUGUUUUCGACGAGUCGAGUUGUUUGGGAAUGCAGCUCAAAGUGGGUGGUAAAUUCCAUCUAAAGCUAAAUAUUGGCGAGAGACCGAUAGCGAACAAGUACUGUGAAGGAAAGAUGAAAAGAACUUUGAAAAGAGAGUGAAAAAGUACGUGAAAUUGUUGAAAUGGAAGGGCUUGAGAUUAGACAUGGUGUUUAGUGUUCCGCUUUCUUUUGGGAAUGUGUACUCGCUUUACACCGGGCCAGCAUCAGUUUUGAUGGGAGGAUAAAUGGUAUUGAAUGUGGCUGCUUGCAGUGUUAUAGCUUUAUCAAAUACUUCCAAUCGGGACUGAGGACCGCGCAUUUGCUAGGAUGCUGGCGUAAUGAUCUUAAGCCACCCGUCUUGAAACACGGACCAAGGAGUCUAUUGCCUAUGCGAGUGUUUGGGUGUAAAACCCGUACGCGUAAUUAAAGUGAACGUAGGUUGGGGCCUUCGGGUGCACAAUCGACCGAUCCUGACGUUUUCAGAUGGAUUUGAGUAAGAGCAUAGUUGAUGGGACCCGAAAGAUGGUGAACUAUGCCUGAAUAGGGUGAAGCCAGAGGAAACUCUGGUGGAGGCUCGUAGCGGUUCUGACGUGCAAAUCGAUCGUCAAAUUUGGGUAUAGGGGCGAAAGACUAAUCGAACCAUCUAGUAGCUGGUUCUGCGA
rnacentral:rRNA from 1 species